rnacentral:snoRNA from 1 species
AGACAUCUGUUCCUCUGAUAGUUUUUUAUACUACUUCAGAUUUCAGAUUGUCUUAGAAUAAAAAUGGACUGCUUCACCCAGAACUGUAUUUUUUAUUACAUUGUCUGGUUUUUGCGGGUUCAUACAAAG